rnacentral:rRNA from 1 species
CCAAUAGCGUAUAUUAAAGUUGUUGCAGUUAAAAAGCUCGUAGUUGAAUUUCAGGCCUGGCUGGACGGUCCGCCCUUCGGGUGAGUACUGUCUGUGGUCGGGUCCUACCUUCUGGCGAAGCGUCAUGGCCUUAACCGGCCGUGGCGGGGAACCAGGACUGUUACUGUGAAAAAAUUAGAGUGUUCAAAGAAGGCAAUCGCUUGGAUACAUUAGCAUGGAAUAAUGGAAUAGGACAAUGGUUCUAUUUGUUGGUUUCUAGGACCGUUGUAAUGAUUAAUAGGGAUAGUUGGGGGCAUUAGUACUCAAUUGUCAGAGGUGAAAUUCUUGGAUUUAUUGAAGACUAACUACUGCGAAAGCAUUUGCCAAGGAUGUUUUCAUUAAUCAAGAACGAAAGUUAGGGGAUCGAAGACGAUCAGAUACCGUCGUAGUCUUAACCAUAAACUAUGCCGACUAGGAAUCGGGCGAUGUUGAAAAAAUGACGCGCUCGGCACCUCAUG